rnacentral:rRNA from 1 species
UGAGGAAUAUUGGGCAAUGGAGGCAACUCUGACCCAGCCAUGCCGCGUGCAGGAAGACGGCCCUAUGGGUUGUAAACUGCUUUUAUACAGGAAGAAACACUGCUACGUGUAGCAGCUUGACGGUACUGUAAGAAUAAGGACCGGCUAACUCCGUGCCAGCAGCCGCGGUAAUACGGAGGGUCCGAGCGUUAUCCGGAAUCAUUGGGUUUAAAGGGUCCGCAGGCGGUCAAUUAAGUCAGAGGUGAAAUCCCAUAGCUCAACUAUGGAACUGCCUUUGAUACUGGUUGACUUGAGUCAUAUGGAAGUAGAUAGAAUGUGUAGUGUAGCGGUGAAAUGCAUAGAUAUUACACAGAAUACCGAUUGCGAAGGCAGUCUACUACGUAUGUACUGACGCUGAGGGACGAAAGCGUGGGGAGCGAACAGGAUUAGAUACCCUGGUAGUCCACGCCGUAAACGAUGGAUACUAGUUGUUGGGCAUUAGCUCAGUGACUAAGCGAAAGUGAUAAGUAUCCCACCUGGGGAGUACGGUCGCAAGACUG